rnacentral:tRNA from 1 species
AUGUGGCUCAGUUGGUAGAGCGCUUGCCUCGGAUGCAUGAAGCCCUGGGCAUAAACCCAGUAU